rnacentral:lncRNA from 1 species
UCGGCCGUAGUUCUCGGGUAGUUGUAACCAUGUUGCCAGUUGUUGAUCCCUAUCCCCGAGUAUAAAGCUAGGCUCGCCCCUCGGCCAACUCCAUCAAGCUUCGGGUUGGAAGAACGUCGUCUCUCGCGAGGAUACCGAAGACUGGGGUAAUGGAAAAUCGUCGUCAAGGUUCGAACUCGCGAAGUGCCAUCGCCUGGGGCUCGAGGAGUUGUGCAGUCGCGUCGCGGGGGCGUGUUCAAGCUGAUGGGGGAAUUGGAAGGCAGUACUAAACCUCUAGAUGACCUUAAUUUCUCGACGGUGUGCGCAGAUCACGGAGAACCCGCCUCGCCUCGCAAACCAGCCACACCACCAUCUCCAACCACCGGUAAGUCGCUUGGAACUUGCUCUAUUGGACCUCCGCCUCACAUAUCCGUAGUUUCAGACGCCGGCGUUCCGGGAUGGCCAUCACCGGUGUGGGCACCACCGUGGGCGUGUGCGCGCCGCCGUGAGGUUGGGGUCUGAGGUUGGGGAUGGUGUCAUAACCGUUGGAUCGAUCUCUGAUGCUCCAGAUUUGAUGGGGUCGGUGGACACCCAUUUGCUUGAUCUGGUCCGUUGAUGGAAUCGGGCGGAUGAAGUUCUUCCACGUCCGGCUGAAUCUUGGGCCAUUGAUCUCUGAUCCUAGCGUCCAGGGUGCAUACCGAUUCGUAAUAAACACUGAUCUAAUCCGCAUCGUCACCUUUUAAUCGGACGAUUCUGGGUGCAAGAUACCCCUUCGGUCUGUGCAUUUUGCAGAUAAGCCCUCGAGAUUUUAAUAAAACAACACGCCGUCCCCUGUCAGCUAGAAGUAUUCACAGUCGGGUCCCUAGAUCUUAUGUGUUAGCCCCUGGUAUUUAUCAUAUUAGUAACCAUGUCCUGAUUUUAUUCAGAAAUGAUUUUAAAAUGAAAGGUAAUCUAGUAAAUUUUAGUAAAUUGAUAACUUAAGUUACAUAACUCCGAUUUGAUCCGUUCGAGUUGCGUCAACUUCAUAAUAAUUUGGACUACACUUUAGUAACUCUAUUUUUUACAAAACAUAUUCUCAAAAAUAAAUAAUUAAUUUGUUUAACCUCUAGUUAUCAAAUAAACUUUGCUAAAGCAAGUUAAAUGCGAUGUGAUAACUGAUUCCUCCACAACUGAUGGAAAUAUGACUUCCAAUUAGGUUAUAACUUAAAUUAAUGAUUGAAUUAGUUAUUUCUUUAAUGUAUUUUCUCAAAUGAUUUUUAUUAAUCAAUAGAGGAUAUAGUGUUAUUGUUUAAACACCUAAAACCUCAUAAAACUGUAUCUUUUGAACCGUAACUCCGAAUUUAGUGGUUCUCGAUCCCACGAUCUCGUAGCAACGCAUAGAUUACUAUUAUGCAGUUUGUACUUAUGUUUGAUGUAAUGUUAAUUUUGCCUAUACCAUGUUUGUCUGUAUUGCUUCGACUAGCAGCGAGGUUACGAGUCACCUGAAGAUCAUCCUGGUACCUGGUAUCUCAAGUCCCAAGCAAG